AAUAUACAGAUAAACUGCUCACCUACAUAUUACACUAUCAAUACAGAUACACUCUCAACAUACAGAUACACUAUCACCCUACAGAUACACUAUCACCAUACAGAUACACUAUCACCAUACAGAUACACUAUCACCAUACAGAUACACUAUCACCAUACAGACACACUAUCACAGAUACACUAUCACCAUACAGAUACACUACCAAGAUACAGAUACACUAUCACCACACAGAUACACUAUCAACAUUCAGAUACACUAUCAACCAUACAGAUACACUAUCAAGAUACAUAUACACUAUCAAGAUACAUAUACACUAUCAAGAUACAUAUACACUAUUACCAUACAGAUACACUAUCAAGAUACAGAUACACUAUCAAGGUACAUAUACACUAUCACCAUACAGAUACACUAUCAAGAUACAGAUACACUAUCACCAUACAGAUACACUAUCACCAUACAUAUACAAUUAAAUGAAUGCAACCAACACAUGCACUGCAUACACAACAUCCUACAGUAAACCCUCCACGUUUCUCAUCAUGGUAGAAUAACUGACAGCUAGAGAGACAGUAGUCUGUCAGUCCAUUCGGCACAAUAAGAGCCAAACCUACUACAUGGGAGAAAUA
rnacentral:lncRNA from 1 species